CCUACGGGGGGCAGCAGUAGGGAAUCUUUCACAAUGGGCGAAAGCCUGAUGGAGCAACGCCGCGUGCAGGAUGAAGGCCUUCGGGUUGUAAACUGCUUUUAUAAGCGAGGAAUAUGAUGGUAACUUAUGAAUAAGGAUCGGCUAAAUACGUGCCAGCAGCCGCGGUCAUACGUAGGAGCCGAGCAUUAUCCGGAGUGACUGGGUGUAAAGAGUUGCGUAGGUGGGAUAAUAAGUAGCUAGUGAAAUCUGGUGGCUCAACCAUUCAGACUAUUAGCUAAACUGUUAAGCUCGAGACCGUUAGGGGUAACUGGAAUUUCUAGUGUAGGAGUGAAAUCCGUAGAUAUUAGAAGGAACACCAAUAGCGUAGGCAGGUUGCUGGGACGGUUCUGACACUAAGGCACGAAAGCGUAGGGAGCAAACGGGAUUAGAUACCCUUGUAGUC
rnacentral:rRNA from 1 species